UAACUGUAAGUCUCUCUGGAUCAGAGUGUCUGCUAAAUGACUCACUAACUGUAAGUCUCUCUGGAUCAGAGUGUCUGCUAAAUUACUAAAAUGUCAAUGUAGAAAAUGUACGUUCAACACUCUGUGUAUACAACCACUUAACUUGUCAUGGAGUGUUCUAACACUGUGUAUAAUGUGAUAAUGGAGUGUUCUAACACUGUGUAUAAGGUGAUAAUGGAGUGUUCUAACACUGUGUAUAAUGUGAUAAUGGAGUGUUCUAACACUGUGUAUAAUGUGAUAAUGGAGCGUUCUAACACUGUGUAUAAGGUGAUAAUGGAGUGUUCUAACACUGUGUAUAACACUGUGUAUAAUGUGAUAAUGGAGUGUUCUAACACUGUGUAUAAGGUGAUAAUGGAGUGUUCUAACACUGUGUAUAACACUGUGUAUAAUGUGAUAAUGGAGUGUUCUAACACUGUGUAUAAGGUGAUAAUGGAGUGUUCUAACACUGUGUAUAAGGUGAUAAUGGAGUGUUCUAACACUGUGUAUAAUGUGAUAAUGGAGUGUUCUAACACUGUGUAUAAGGUGAUAAUGGAGUGUUCUAACACUGUGUAUAAGGUGAUAAUGGAGUGUUCUAACACUGUGUAUAAGGUGAUAAUGGAGUGUUCUAACGCUGUACAAUGUGAUAAUGGAGUGUUCUAACACUGUGUAAUGUGAUAAUGGAGUGUUCUAACACUGUGUAUAAGGUGAUAAUGGAGUGUUCUAACACUGUAUAAGGUGAUAAUGGAGUGUUCUAACACUGUGUAUAAUGUGAUAAUGGAGUGUUCUAACACUGUGUAUAAGGUGAUAAUGGAGUGUUCUAACACUGUGUAUAAGGUGAUAAUGGAGUGUUCUAACGCUGUACAAUGUGAUAAUGGAGUGUUCUAACGCUGUACAAUGUGAUAAUGGAGUGUUCUAACACUGUGUAUAAGGUGAUAAUGGAGUGUUCUAACACUGUGUAUAAUGUGAUAAUGGAGUGUUCUAACACUGUGUAUAAGGUGAUAAUGGAGUGUUCUAACACUGUGUAUAAUGUGAUAAUGGAGUGUUCUAACACUGUGUAUAAGGUGAUAAUGGAGUGUUCUAACACUGUGUAUAAGGUGAUAAUGGAGUGUUCUAACACUGUAUAAGGUGAUAAUGGAGUGUUCUAACGCUGUACAAUGUGAUAAUGGAGUGUUCUAACACUGUGUAUAAGGUGAUAAUGGAGUGUUCUAACACUGUGUAUAAUGUGAUAAUGGAGUGUUCUAACACUGUGUAUAAGGUGAUAAUGGAGUGUUCUAACACUGUGUAUAAGGUGAUAAUGGAGUGUUCUAACACUGUGUAUAAGGUGAUAAUGGAGUGUUCUAACACUGUGUAUAAGGUGAUAAUGGAGUGUUCUAACACUGUGUAUAACUAACACUGUAUAAUGUGAUAAUGGAGUGUUCUAACACUGUGUAUAAUGUGAUAAUGGAGUGUUCUAACACUGUGUAUAAGGUGAUAAUGGAGUGUUCUAACACUGUGUAUAAUGUGAUAAUGGAGUGUUCUAACACUGUGUAUAAGGUGAUAAUGGAGUGUUCUAACACUGUGUAUAAUGUGAUAAUGGAGUGUUCUAACACUGUGUAUAAGGUGAUAAUGGAGUGUUCUAACACUGUGUAUAACACUGUGUAUAAUGUGAUAAUGGAGCGUUCUAACACUGUGUAUAAGGUGAUAAUGGAGUGUUCUAACACUGUGUAUAAGGUGAUAAUGGAGUGUUCUAACACUGUGUAUAAGGUGAUAAUGGAGUGUUCUAACACUGUGUAUAAUGUGAUAAUGGAGUGUUCUAACACGGUGUAUAAGGUGAUAAUGGAUUGUUCUAACACUGUGUAUAAGGUGAUAAUGGAGUGUUCUAACACUGUGUAUAAUGGAGUGUAAUAACACUGUGUAUAAUGUGAUAAUGGAGUGUUCUAACACUGUGUAUAAGGUGAUAAUGGAGUGUUCUAACACUGUGUAUAAGGUGAUAAUGGAGUGUUCUAACACUGUGUAUAAGGUGAUAAUGGAGUGUUCUCACACUGUGUAUAAGGUGUUAAUGGCCAGCUACAGUUGUUCCCUGGUGACCUGUAUCAUUGUGU